GACUAAACUGGUUCAGGCACUUUCUCCAUUUGCGUCACAGAAGCUGUUCGAAAUAUUUACUCAGUCAUUUCCUGCUGGAUUCUGUGGUUCUCGGCUGUGAUUAAAGUCUGAGGUUUCAGUAGCCAUCUUCUCCAAGGGUUUAAAUUAAAAAAAUAUGAACUACGGAUUAAAAUAAUUAUAAAUAUUUCCAGAUCUGGAUCUAGAUUGUCAAUAAGAGAAGAUGACAGACGAAGACAAACCUGCGCUGAAGGAAAAAACAUUUAACAUAAAAGAAAAUGCCUGUGGAUUGAGAAAACAUCUAACUCUGCAGCUGAAAAACAGUAUGGACAUAUAUCCACCAAAGUUCUCUCUUGAUCCAGACAGACCUGCGGAGAAAAGAGAAAUUCAUGAGAAAGCGCCAGUUUUUCUCAUCAAACUGUUGAAGAUCUAGAACAUCAUCUAGAACAUCAUCUAACAUCUAGAAUGUUCUUCACGUCACUUUCAGUCGGUGAAUCAGAAUGAGACUGGAACACAAAACUAUUAUUUUCUUCUGAAAAUGCUCCUUUUUAAAAUGUUUAUGCAUGGCUAUAACUGUACUAUAGGCUAUACUUAAACUGAUUUUUAUUUAAUAGAGUGCACACAGGUUUAUAUAUUUUGUCAUAAUAAUCAGACAAUUAUAAAGACAAUAACAAAUCUUCCUCCUAUUUGAACAGGUAUAGUUCAUGUUGCUCAAACUUUUCAGAGAUGCAAAAUAUUUUCCCUUAAAGGACAAGUUCGGUAUUUUACAAUUAAAGCCACAGAAACCGAAAUUUCUCGGGCCAGCUGCAUGUGUCCAAAUUUUAAUUUUAACCGUUCUAUUUCUUUAGAAACGACCUUGAAAUAGGGCUUUAAGUGUAAAUUACUGAACUUGUCCUUUAAACGUGUCAUUACUUUACUUCCGUUUUGAAGGUAUUUUUAUCUUAAGAACCUCCUGUAACUGGUGUCAAGUGUCUUAUUCAAGAGCACAAUGAUCUCUAUGAUUGAGUUGCAUCAUGAGCACAUGGUCAGCAGGGAUGAAAUGUCUGUAUUAUUUGGAUUCUGCUGAACACUUUGUGAAGGUCAUGUAAGUGUCAAAGUGUAUUUACAACAUUAAACUCCGUCUGUUUAUACUUGAAAGUGA